rnacentral:rRNA from 1 species
AUUGAACGCUGGCGGCAUGCCUUACACAUGCAAGUCGAACGGCAGCACGGGAGCAAUCCUGGUGGCGAGUGGCGAACGGGUGAGUAAUAUAUCGGAACGUGCCCAGUCGUGGGGGAUAACGCAGCGAAAGCUGUGCUAAUACCGCAUACGAUCUAUGGAUGAAAGCGGGGGAUCGCAAGACCUCGCGCGAUUGGAGCGGCCGAUAUCAGAUUAGCUAGUUGGUGAGGUAAAGGCUCACCAAGGCGACGAUCUGUAGCUGGUCUGAGAGGACGACCAGCAACACUGGAACUGAGACACGGUCCAGACUCCUACGGGAGGCAGCAGUGGGGAAUUUUGGACAAUGGGCGAAAGCCUGAUCCAGCAAUGCCGCGUGCAGGAUGAAGGCCUUCGGGUUGUAAACUGCUUUUGUACGGAACGAAACGGUGAGCUCUAAUACAGUUUGCUAAUGACGGUACCGUAAGAAUAAGCACCGGCUAACUACGUGCCAGCCGCCGCCGUAAGAC